rnacentral:rRNA from 1 species
CGGACGGGUGAGUAACGCGUGGAAAACCUGCCGUAUACUGGGGGAUAACACUUAGAAAUAGGUGCUAAUACCGCAUAAGCGCACAGCUUCGCAUGAAGCGGUGUGAAAAACUCUGGUGGUAUACGAUGGUUCCGCGUCUGAUUAGCUAGUUGGUGGAGUAAUGGCCUACCAAGGCAACGAUCAGUAGCCGGCCUGAGAGGGUGAACGGCCACAUUGGGACUGAGACACGGCCCAAACUCCUACGGAAGGCAGCAG